GUUGGAACCGAGAUCCCGGUUGUGGUUCAUCUGCCUGUCUGACUUCCAACGGCUACGAAUGAGUCCCAGCUGCUGUUCUCUGAGCACCAGCCCGUGUCUGUCCCAGCUCGCUCCAAAGCGUUUGUGUGUAUUGAGUUAUUGAGAUCACACGUCCCUUUCUUCAAAACAUUCCUCUUCUCACUGAUACAUCCACAGUCAGUUUGCAAAACGCUUAGAAAUUAAUAUCUGAGGCAAGUGUGAAAUAAGCGGUUUCGCGAAGGACCGAAGCGGUGCCGGUCCGGGCGCUGCUGCAGCGCUGGCAGAGCCCGCGGCUACGGCCGGGACAGUCGGACCAGGGACCGCGGCUACGGCCGGGACAGUCGGACCAGGGACCGCGGCUACGGCCGGGACAGUCGGACCCAUCCCGCCUUCAGCCGCCGCAGUGAUGAACCUGCACCUCCUGGGGCUGCCACUCGGCGCAGGGAGGAGCAACUGCCUCGAGUCCGUUCUCUUAAGUAGAAUGAUGAAUAGGAGAAAGACCCUGUUUGAAGAACUUCAGUGACCUCUCUGUGCCUUACACACCGGAAAGGACUGCUGGCCUGAAGUGGAAAGUGCUGCAGCUUUGCAGAAGGAUGAGAAUUCUUUGAUACAACCUCAAAAUCAUACCUCAAUGCUAAUUUAUAAAGAAUAAAGUCAAGAAGAAUCAGUAUAAAUUCAGAGACAGUUUAGUCUGACUGAAGCCAAGACACAUUGAUGCGUGAUUUAAAGAGCUCAUAAAAACAGACAGCUGGCUUUAGAAUCCAUGGAAAGCAAUAAAGCAGUUAAAAAUUCUCCCAGUUGUAAUGCCUAUAGAUUUCCUUAUCUUAAAUUCUUUGGCCAAACCCCUGGAGCAAAUUGCAGGGCACGUGAUGGGAGUUUUGUCUUUCAGCCCGGGGCUGGGGCAGCUCCCGGCCCCUCUCGGUGCCCCCUCCGCGCGGUGGCUCCGCUCUAGGGGAGCUUGUCUUGGCGGCAGUGUCUAGACAUUCCCAGCUCCUAUCCUUCCUGACAGUCUCAUGCCAGUGGUAAUUUAAAAAUUGUUUGGGAUAGGCUGUGCCUCAUAGACACAGGGAGCCAGUAAUAACCCCCAGUUCAGUGACCCUGGUCGGAUCAUCAAACAGAUGGUACAAGCAACCUCAGUUCAGUGUUGGGUCAGGAAUCGUGACCUCCCCUGACCUUUUUUGUAGAUUUAAAAUUGUUUUGAGAAAGAGAAGAAUAAAAAAGAUACGACUCCAGGCAGUUCUGGAAAGCACUCUAGCUUCCUGUACUGUACACAUGCAUAUAAGUAACAUGUUUAAACAGAUGCAGCUCUGGCAGGCCUGAAAAAUUAGGAUUUAGAUACUUUGUACAUUUUUUUUUAAUGCAGUGCACAUUGCUUCUAUUUACUCUAAAAACUUUGAAGUUAAAAGACACUGUACGAAAACAUUAUCUUCACUACAUUUAAUAGAAAAGACAAAAAAGCAGGUCAGGUAAAUUUAUUUUUUAAAAAUGAAGAAUUAGCUAAGCAAAACAAAAAACCAAAAUCACCGUAUGUGGAUUUUUCAGAUGCAUUACAGAAAACUGUCUGGUGGAUCAGUGGUGUGUACCAGAUGAAAAAAAUUAACACUAAGAUUAUUAGACAAAUUGCCUUGUAAGAGCAAAAUGUAUACAAAUGUAGGCUGGUUGGUUUUCAAAGGUUUCCUUUGUGUACACAGUAUUUGCAGUCACAACCAAUAAAACAAAAUAUACUGGCACUUUA